ACCCAGCCCAAGAUAGACCCUGUUGGAGAAGUGGCUCUGAGUACGUUAUUGGGCUUUAGUGGGAACAACAAAUGAUAAGAGGGCCUGAAAUCCCCAUCAGGCCUUGGGUAUAAAGCUCCUCCAGGGUGCACGGGCCAGGCCAUGCUCAGGAAGGCAGCCCCAUGAAAGGGAGAUGGUGUAUCCAAGCCAGAGCCAGAGCAGGGGUCGGGGCAGGAGUGAGGCCUCGUGAGGGAGUUGCCAACGGCCCUGUGGUUUAAGCAACAAGUGUAGAUCCCCUGGACAGUGAGCACAAAUCACUGGGGCAAUGGGGAAAAGCCCCAAAGCAAGUGCUGGGAGAAGAGAGGGAGCAUGCAUGGCUCACUGCUGGGUCAGCCAAAUCUAUCAGUGGGAAGCACUUUUGGAAAGCAGGAGCAUCUAACCCGUGCCAGAGUCACGACGGGGGGAGGCAAAAGUAGUCCAUGCCAUAGUGUGUAUAUUGUAAUACAAAGAAAUAAGGCACAGAAUGACUUAAUGGGUACCAAUGAACUGAUCUGGAGGACCGUAUUCCCAUCCUGGAUUGCAAAAAUUAACUGGCUUUUGUCUCCUGAAUUGCUGCAGUGCACCGACUGAUAUCAUGCUGGAAAAAUAACACACUUCAAUGGCUCAAAGGACCAAAGGAAAGGAUGAGAAGUUGGCUGAGAAUUGAGCCCCGGGGCUGCUGCCCCUGAGGAGCAGGGCAGUGCCAUUUUCCUUUUGCCUUUCCCAAGUUUUUCCAAGUGCUGCGCAGCACGGGGAUCUGUGUGCUGGGACAGUGAUUGGCAGGAGGAAGGGGAGCCUUGGCCUCACCUGCCCAGCUCAGGUGGGUGGCAGAGAAUUGGGGUGGGCUGGCAAGGCAUGAACAUAUUUCUGAGUUCUGGAGUGCCUUGAAUCCUCUCCCUGUCAGCUUCCUCUCCCUCCUUUCCUGGGGUCCAGCAUCCCAGGUGUCUCUUCCUUUGCCCAAAGUCCAAUGGCAGAGGAUUGACUAACUCCCAAGGGGGGUUUGGAAUGAAGAAGGUUCUGUUCCAAUGGGGCAAGGAAUGCAGUGAGAAAGAUGAGCCUCCUUUUAGUGCCUGAAGUAGAGAGGAAUAAAGAUGCUGGAAAAGGCCACGUUUCCUUUGUUGUCCCCCCUGGAUUUUUCAUGGCUCAAACUCUUUAGUGAGCAAUUGAAGAGAAGGGUGAAGGGCAGGAGCCUUUGACUUGCCCAGUGCACUUAAUUGCCUUGUUCUCCUCUC